rnacentral:lncRNA from 1 species
UCGGAGCUUUGCUUGGCUGUUUCGAAGACAACAAAGACGAGGGCUGGAACUGUCGCCGCCGAGCUGGUGCAGCGUUCCUUCACAAUCCGACCAAAGCGUCGUCGACUCGAUCUGCCGCCGCUCAGAUCAGCCAGCAAUGUACGAGAGCUCGACGGUCCGCCUGACAGAGCCCAAGCCACAAGUGCCCACCCGCAGGGCAAUGUGGGCUGCAGAGCCUGUGAUCCCUGACAGAGCUGUCUACACGUUUGGAACACUGACACUGCUCAUUCUCGCUGGGGCCCUGGUGAUCUUGGGCUAUGCUGCCUAUGUCAAGCUCUCCUAAGCACUUUUGCAAGCGACGGCCUGCCUUUU